CAGCCGCCGCGGUAAUACCGGCGGCCCGAGUGGCGGCCACUAUUAUUGGGCUUAAAGCGUCCGUAGCCGGGUUGGUUAGUCUCCCGGGAAAUCUGGCCGCUUAACGGUCAGAAUUCCGGGAGAUACUGCCAGCCUAGGGACCGGGAGAGGCCGAGGGUAUUCCCGGAGUAGGGGUGAAAUCCUAUAAUCCCGGGAGGACCACCUGUGGCGAAGGCGCUCGGCUGGAACGGGUCCGACGGUGAGGGACGAAGGCCAGGGGAGCAAACCGGAUUAGAUACCCGGGUAGUCCUGGCUGUAAACGAUGCGGACUUUGUGUCGGACAAGCUAUGAGCUGGUCCGGUGCCGGAGGGAAACCGUUAAGUCCGCCGCCUGGGGAGUACGGCCGCAAGGCUGAAACUUAAAGGAAUUGGCGGG
rnacentral:rRNA from 1 species